CCUGAACCAAGAUCAAAAGUCAGACACUCAACCGACUGAGUCACCCAGCCCCCAGCCACCCUGAAAUCGCCGAGUGUGUUGCCUGGCUCCGCUCCUCUUCUGGGCCCCCUCCGCCAACCCCCAAGUGACCUGAUGGUGGUCCGAAGUCCCCUCUGAGUAACCCUGCCCCCAGCACUUCCCACCUGAGCUUUCACACUGGAUGGCCUCACAGCACUUGUAGGAGGGAGGCGCACCACACCAGAGCAAGAUUCAGGAUGCCUCAAGCUGACACUUGACUCCGGUGGCUUCCACGGCACCUCGGACGUCACAAGUGCAAACUGACCUCGCUCGGUCACCCACAAACUUACUUCUCUUCCACUCUGGUCUUGGCAUCUUCGACAUCUCCCUCUCCCUCUUCUUCUGCAUCCACUCCACCCCAACACCACUGUGCCUGGACCGUUGCUGGAGCUUCCUCCUGCCUCCCUGAAGCCACCCUGACUGGCCAGCCACUCCUUACCAUCCUAAAAUGAAGGUAGGACACUAUUCUUGUUCUUAAAACCUUCAAUGGCUAUUAUUACUUUUAGGAAAAAGGCCAACAUUCUUUUUGUGGUCUGGCAGCCAUGUGCCCAU